GGUCCCAAGGGUUGGGCUGUUCGCCCAUUAAAGCGGUACGCGAGCUGGGUUCAGAACGUCGUGAGACAGUUCGGUCCCUAUCCGUCGUGGGCGUAGGAAAUUUGAGAGGAGCUGUCCUUAGUACGAGAGGACCGGGAUGGACAUACCUCUGGUGUACCAGUUGUCGUGCCAACGGCAUAGCUGGGUAGCUAUGUGUGGACGGGAUAAGUGCUGAAAGCAUCUAAGCAUGAAGCCCCCCUCAAGAUGAGAUUUCCUAACUUCGGUUAUAAGAUCCCUCAAAGAUGAUGAGGUUAAUAGGUUCGAGGUGGAAGCAUGGUGACAUGUGGAGCUGACGAAUACUAAUCGAUCGAAGACUUAAUCAA
rnacentral:rRNA from 1 species